ACAUAUAUACACCUAUUCCCAGGGUGCGAACUACAGGGGAGCUAGGGGAGCUCGGCUCCCCUUAAUAAGACAUGGGCUCCCCAGAAAACAUGAUUUGUGAAAU